rnacentral:rRNA from 1 species
GAGUUUGAUCUUGGCUCAGAUUGAACGCUGGCGGCAUGCCUUACACAUGCAAGUCGAACGGCAGCACGGGAGCUUGCUCCUGGUGGGCGAGUGGCGAACGGGUGAGUAAUGCAUCGGAACGUAUCCUGGAGUGGGGGAUAACGUAGCGAAAGUUACGCUAAUACCGCAUAUUCUGUGAGCAGGAAAGCGGGGGACCUUCGGGCCUCGCGCUCUUGGAGCGGCCGAUGUCGGAUUAGCUAGUUGGUGGGGUAAAGGCUCACCAAGGCGACGAUCCGUAGCAGGUCUGAGAGGAUGAUCUGCCACACUGGAACUGAGACACGGUCCAGACUCCUACGGGAGGCAGCA